rnacentral:rRNA from 1 species
AGUGAACGCUGGCGGUAGGCCUAACACAUGCAAGUCGAACGGCAGCACAGUAAGAGCUUGCUCUUACGGGUGGCGAGUGGCGGACGGGAGAGGAAUACAUCGGAAUCUACUUUUUCGUGGGGGAUAACGUAGGGAAACUUACGAUAAUACCGCAUACGACCUACGGGUGAAAGCAGGGGAUCUUCGGACCUUGCGCGGUUGAAUGAGCCGAUGUCGGAUUAGCUAGUUGGCGGGGUAAAGGCCCACCAAGGCGACGAUCCGUAGCUGGUCUGAGAGGAUGGUCAGCCACACUGGAACUGAGACACGGUCCAGACUCCUACGGGAGGCAGCAGUGGGGAAUAUUAGACAGUGGGCGCAAGCCUUAACCAGCCGGACCGCGUGGGUGGAGAAGGCCUUCGGGUUGUAAAGCCCUUUUGUUGGGUGAGAAAAGCAGCAGCUUAAUACGCCGCUGGUCUGACGGUACCCAAAGAAUAAGCACCGGCUAACUUCGUG